CCUACGGGAGGCAGCAGUGGGGAAUACUGGACAAUGGGGGGAACCCUGAUCCAGCCAUGCCGCGUGUGUGAAGAAGGCCCUCGGGUUGUAAAGCACUUUCAGUGAGGAAGAACGCCUGGUGGUUAAUACCCAUCAGGAAAGACAUCACUCACAGAAGAAGCACCGGCUAACUCCGUGCCAGCAGCCGCGGUAAUACGGAGGGUGCGAGCGUUAAUCGGAAUUACUGGGCGUAAAGCGCGCGUAGGUGGCUUGAUAAGCCGGUUGUGAAAGCCCCGGGCUCAACCUGGGAACGGCAUCCGGAACUGUCAAGCUAGAGUGCAGGAGAGGAAGGUAGAAUUCCCGGUGUAGCGGUGAAAUGCGUAGAGAUCGGGAGGAAUACCAGUGGCGAAGGCGGCCUUCUGGACUGACACUGACACUGAGGUGCGAAAGCGUGGGUAGCAAACAGGAUUAGAUACCCCUGUAGUC
rnacentral:rRNA from 1 species